rnacentral:rRNA from 1 species
UGGGGAAUAUUGGACAAUGGGGGGAACCCUGAUCCAGCCAUGCCGCGUGUGUGAAGAAGGCCUUAUGGUUGUAAAGCACUUUAAGCGAGGAGGAGGGUACUGGUAUUAAUACUACCAGGUACUGGACGUUACUCGCAGAAUAAGCACCGGCUAACUCUGUGCCAGCAGCCGCGGUAAUACAGAGGGUGCAAGCGUUAAUCGGAAUUACUGGGCGUAAAGCGCGCGUAGGUGGUUCGUUAAGUUGAAUGUGAAAGCCCCGGGCUCAACCUGGGAACUGCCUCCAAAACUGGCGAGCUAGAGUAGGGCAGAGGGUGGUGGAAUUUCCUGUGUAGCGGUGAAAUGCGUAGAUAUAGGAAGGAACACCAGUGGCGAAGGCGACCACCUGGGCUCAUACUGACACUGAGGUGCGAAAGCGUGGGGAGCAAACAGG